CAACAUGGCGUUUGUGCGCGGCGUAAAGACUAAAACAGUUGUUUGGAACAACUUAAAACAACAAGUCCGUUUGCGUGUUGUGCUGUGCUGGUAUUUUUAUUUUUUUAUAUAGUAAUGUAGGGCUUACGUUACACUAAAGUGUGACAAUGGCAGUGAAACGUUUGUACAAUUUAAAGCUGCGGCUUAUGAAUGAAAAUGAUCAGAAGAAGAAGGGAGAGAGUGUGAGAUAAGACUAGUCAACAUAUUGACCAAUCGAGAUUCAUGGGGUAAGGCAGCUUAUUAGAGACAUUGGGGGCAAUUAUGUGUGCCAUAUUUGUGGCAGAGCUUACAUGACAAAGAAAACAUUGAUACGACACAUUAGAUAUGAAUGUGGACAGGAACCUCAGUUCCCAUGUCCUUACUGUCGAAUGAAGUACAAACGAAGAUAUAUAUUGAGAGCCCAUAUUAUCAAGAGACAUAAUAACUGGACAGUGUCUUACACAGCUUAAGAACUCGGAAAUAAUUAUUUUAUUGUAAAAUAAAAAAAUUACAUUUGGAGGAGAGUAACGAAUCUGCAAAAGAAAAUUAUAAUUAGUUCCAUGUUCCAUAGAUUAUCUGAAAAUGCAAAUUACUGCACGUGCUCAAAUUCAAUUGUGAAAUAUGUUUUAUGUAAGAUCAGCCUGUAGCACUUCGUAAUGCUUGUAUUGAAUGGUGAUAAUAAACUGAACUUAUGGAGCUUUGAGCAGUUCAUAAUUAUGGAUGAAUGAUUUACCUAUGUAUACAGUGGUAUUAAUAACUUACUGUAGUUGCAUUUAUUCACAGAUCAGAAGUGCUACAGGAAAAUAUAAAAUUUUGUAAGAGCUGCUUAUACAAAUGUGAACAAAAAGAUGUAUUGGAGUUCUUUGAAUGAAAUUGAUACCU